GGUAAUUGAGAGCGGCGUACGGGUGCGGAACACGUGUGCAACCUGCCUUUAUCAGGGGGAUAGCCUUUCGAAAGGAAGAUUAAUACCCCAUAAUAUAUUAUUCGGCAUCGGGUGAUAUUGAAAACUACGGUGGAUAGAGAUGGGCACGCGCAAGAUUAGCUAGUUGGUGAGGUAACGGCUCACCAAGGCGACGAUCUUUAGGGGGCCUGAGAGGGUGAUCCCCCACACUGGUACUGAGACACGGACCAGACUCCUACGGGAGGCAGCAGUGAGGAAUAUUGGACAAUGGGUGGAAGCCUGAUCCAGCCAUCCCGCGUGCAGGAAGACGGCCCUAUGGGUUGUAAACUGCUUUUAUCUGGGGAUAAACCUACUUACGUGUAAGUAGCUGAAGGUACCAGAAGAAUAAGCACCGGCUAACUCCGUGCCAGCAGCCGCGGUAAUACGGAGGGUGCAAGCGUUAUCCGGAUUUAUUGGGUUUAAAGGGUCCGUAGGCGGACUGAUAAGUCAGUGGUGAAAUCCGACAGCUUAACUGUCGAACUGCCAUUGAUACUGUUAGUCUUGAGUAAGGUUGAAGUGGCUGGAAUAAGUAGUGUAGCGGUGAAAUGCAUAGAUAUUACUUAGAACACCAAUUGCGAAGGCAGGUCACUAAGUCUUAACUGACGCUGAUGGAC
rnacentral:rRNA from 1 species